AUUUAUUAUAUGUAAAUCUUAUAUGCGUAUAUAAACAUUAAUUUUGGAUAAGUUGCAAAUAAAAUUUAAGUCAAAUAAAAAUAAUGAUAAUACAAACCUCCGGAUGUGGUGAAUUUGGAUUAUAUUGGGGAAUGUCGUGAGAAUUUAUUAAGCGUUGUUAGGAGUGGUGUCAAUAUGAUAUAAACUAUAAAAUCAAUAGAGUUAAAAAAAGAAGACAUGACUACAACCUUAAGCUGAACUAAGUUAGAAAGAAAAGCUAAGAACUUAAUAAAAUUCAAAAAGUAGAAAAACCCGAAACGCAAUGCUGACUCUCCACCUCUAACUUCCGCUGCAAGCAAAGAAGUUCAUCUUCAAAUUUAAUUGUUUCAUUAAAUAUUUCCUUUAAUUUAACAGAACUUAAACAUUCUUAAUAAAUCCCUAAGUUCACUCAUUCCUCAACGACUCUACCGUUACGAUUUCCGGGAAAUGUCCUAAAACGCGGCCCUCUCCUUCUUGGCAGUUAAUAUAACUUCAGAGCAAGUGAGUGCGCAACUACAAAAGGAGUAACGGUCACUCAAAUGAUAAUGAAGAAAACACGAAAGUUAAGAACUUUUAAAUACAUGUCGAAUUUGGGCAAUUAAAGCCUUGCAUAAAUUUUUGUUUUAGCAACAAACUUAUAUGGUU